AUUGAACGCUGGCGGCAGGCUUAACACAUGCAAGUCGAGCGGAGAUGAGGUGCUUGCACCUUAUCUUAGCGGCGGACGGGUGAGUAAUGCUUAGGAAUCUGCCUAUUAGUGGGGGACAACAUUCCGAAAGGAAUGCUAAUACCGCAUACGUCCUACGGGAGAAAGCAGGGGAUCUUCGGACCUUGCGCUAAUAGAUGAUCCUAAGUCGGAUUAGCUAGUUGGUGGGGUAAAGGCCUACCAAGGCGACGAUCUGUAGCGGGUCUGAGAGGAAGAUCCGCCACACUGGGACUGGGAGACGGCCCAGACUCCUACGGGAGGCAGCAGUGGGGAAUAGUGGACAAUGGGGGAAACCCUGAUCCAGCCAUGCCGCGUGGGUGAAGAAGGCCUUAUGGUUGUAAAGCACUUGAAGCGAGGAGGAGGCUACUGAGACUAAUACUCUUGGAUAGUGGACGUUACUCGCAGAAUAAGCACCGGCUAACUCUGCGCCAGCAGCUGCAGUAACAC
rnacentral:rRNA from 1 species